CCUACGGGUGGCAGCAGUGGGGAAUAUUGCACAAUGGGGGAAACCCUGAUGCAGCGACGCCGCGUGAGUGAAGAAGUAUUUCUGUAUUUAAAGCUCUAUCAGCAGGGAAGAAAAUGACGGUACCUGUUUAAGAAUCCCCGGCUAACUACGUGCCAGCAGCCGUGGUAAUACGUAGGGGGCAAGCGUUAUCCGGAUUUACUGGGUGUAAAGGGAGCGUAGACGGUUAUGCAAGUCAGAAGGGAAAGCCCGGGGCUCAACUCCGGGACUGCCUAUGAAACUGUGUGACUGGAGUGCAGGGGAGGUAAGCGGAAUUCAUGGUGUAGCGGUGAAAUGCGUAGAUAUCAGGAGGAACACCAGUGGCGAAGGCGGCUUACUAAACUGUAACUGACGUUGAGGCUCGAAAGCGUGGGGAGCAAACAGGAUUAGAUACCCUUGUAGUC
rnacentral:rRNA from 1 species